rnacentral:rRNA from 1 species
UUAUGACUGCGCUAAGGUAGCGUAAUCACUUGUCUUCUAAAUAGAGACCAGUAUGAAUGGCACCACGAAGAUUUAACUGUCUCCCUACUCCAGUCAAUGAAAUUGAUCUAUCCGUGCAGAAGCGGAUAUAAAGACAUAAGACGAGAAGACCCUAUGGAGCUUUAGGAAUUAGGCAAACAUGUCAAGAAGCUAUAAACACAACGAAACAGCUUUAAACUUAGUGAAACAUGACCCAACUCCUUAGGUUGGGGCGACCCUGAGGCAAAAAACAGCCCUCAUAUGGAAAUAAAGGAAUGUACUAUUUAAGACCUUUACACCCACGAGCGACAACUCUAAGGAGCAGAACAUCUGACCAAAACUGACCCAGGAUUAAUUAACCUGAUUAUUGGACCAAGUUACCCUAGGGAUAACAGCGCAAUCUUCUCUUAGAGUUCAUAUCGACGAGAAGGCUUACGACCUCGAUGUUGGAUCAGGACAUCCUAAUGGUGCAACCGCUA